GAUGAGUUGGCUGAAUGGUUUAAGCGGCGGACUGUUAAUCCGUGUUCGAAAGAACGAUAUAGGUUCAAAUCCUAUACUCAUCGCCA
rnacentral:tRNA from 7 species